rnacentral:rRNA from 1 species
GACGAACGCUGGCGGCGUGCCUAAUACAUGCAAGUCGAACGAACUCUGGUAUUGAUUGGUGCUUGCAUCAUGAUUUACAUUUGAGUGAGUGGCGAACUGGUGAGUAACACGUGGGAAACCUGCCCAGAAGCGGGGGAUAACACCUGGAAACAGAUGCUAAUACCGCAUAACAACUUGGACCGCAUGGUCCGAGCUUGAAAGAUGGCUUCGGCUAUCACUUUUGGAUGGUCCCGCGGCGUAUUAGCUAGAUGGUGGGGUAACGGCUCACCAUGGCAAUGAUACGUAGCCGACCUGAGAGGGUAAUCGGCCACAUUGGGACUGAGACACGGCCCAAACUCCUACGGGAGGCAGCAGUAGGGAAUCUUCCACAAUGGACGAAAGUCUGAUGGAGCAACGCCGCGUGAGUGAAGAAGGGUUUCGGCUCGUAAAACUCUGUUGUUAAAGAAGAACAUAUCUGAGAGUAACUGUUCAGGUAUUGACGGUAUUUAACCAGAAAGCCACGGCUAACUACGUGCCAGCAGCCGCGGUAAUACGUAGGUGGCAAGCGUUGUCCGGAUUUAUUGGGCGUAAAGCGAGCGCAGGCGGUUUUUUAAGUCGGAUGUGAAAGCCUUCGGCUCAACCGAAGAAGUGCAUCGGAAACUGGGAAACUUGAGUGCAGAAGAGGACAGUGGAACUCCAUGUGUAGCGGUGAAAUGCGUAGAUAUAUGGAAGAACACCAGUGGCGAAGGCGGCUGUCUGGUCUGUAACUGACGCUGAGGCUCGAAAGUAUGGGUAGCAAACAGGAUUGGAUACCCUGGUAGUCCAUACCGUAAACGAUGAAUGCUAAGUGUUGGAGGGUUUCCGCCCUUCAGUGCUGCAACUAACGCAUUAAGCAUUCCGCCUGGGGAGUACGGCCGCAAGGCUGAAACUCAAAGGAAUUGACGGGGGCCCGCACAAGCGGUGGAGCAUGUGGUUUAAUUCGAAGCUACGCGAAGAACCUUACCAGGUCUUGACAUACUAUGCAAAUCUAAGAGAUUAGACGUUCCCUUCGGGGACAUGGAUACAGGUGGUGCAUGGUUGUCGUCAGCUCGUGUCGUGAGAUGUUGGGUUAAGUCCCGCAACGAGCGCAACCCUUAUUAUCAGUUGCCAGCAUUAAGUUGGGCACUCUGGUGAGACUGCCGGUGACAAACCGGAGGAAGGUGGGGAUGACGUCAAAUCAUCAUGCCCCUUAUGACCUGGGCUACACACGUGCUACAAUGGAUGGUACAACGAGUUGCGAACUCGCGAGAGUAAGCUAAUCUCUUAAAGCCAUUCUCAGUUCGGAUUGUAGGCUGCAACUCGCCUACAUGAAGUCGGAAUCGCUAGUAAUCGCGGAUCAGCAUGCCGCGGUGAAUACGUUCCCGGGCCUUGUACACACCGCCCGUCACACCAUGAGAGUUUGUAACACCCAAAGUCGGUGGGGUAACCUUUUAGGAACCAGCCGCCUAAGGUGGGACAGAUGAUUAGGGUG